GGCUGGGUGACUCAAUGAUUAGAGCUUAGGGCUCGUAACCGAAAGGUUCCAAGUUCGAGCCUCGCAAGAGGCA
rnacentral:tRNA from 1 species